CCUUUCUACGGAGUUUUGUGGGCGCACGGUAGUGCGCCGAUGUGGGGAUGCUUCCUUUCCCGGCUUCCUGGCCGGGUGGCGUCCCUUGCUGGCUGGGAAAAGGUCAAGGCGCCUGCGCCCUUGUGGUGUGGGUGGACAGUGGUGUGGUGCAUGCUGUUGGGUUCCCGGACCGCCAGGCCCCUUGUCGGGGGUGGUGUUCCGUUCCCGCCGUCCUGGCCGCGCCCCUUGUGGGGUGGGUGCUUGGGGUGGUGUGGUGUGGUGGUUUGAGAACUGGAGAGUGGACGCGAGCAUGAACGGUGUGCCCUGUGGGGUGUGCCGGGUGUGUUCGUACUGUUGAUUUUGUCGAACCGUUCCGUGCCCGCUUUCGGGUGGGUGCGUGGAUUGUGUUCGCGAGUGUUUUGGUAAGCCGUCCACGCCCGUGUGGGUGUGGGUGGUGUUUUAGAUGAUCUGAUUAGUUGUCGUAGGGUGUUCCAGUGCAAGUGGCAUGGGCCCGUUGGCCCCUUUUGCGGGGGUUGGUGG
rnacentral:misc_RNA from 1 species